rnacentral:rRNA from 1 species
GACGAACGCUGGCGGCGUGCCUAAUACAUGCAAGUCGAACGCAGUGGGGAUGGGUGAGUAACACGUGGGUAACCUCCCAUCAGAGGGGAUAAACCUUGGAAACAGGUGCUAAACCGCUACUGGUGGAUGGACCCGCGGUGCAUUGGCUAGGUGGUGAGGUAUAGGCUCACCAAGGCCACGAUGCAUAGCCGGCCUGAGAGGGGGAUCGGCCACACUGGGACUGAGACACGGCCCAGACUCCUACGGGAGGCAGCAGUAGGGAAUCUUCGGCAAUGGGCGAAAGUCUGACCGAGCAACGCCGCGUGUAUGAAGAAGGUUUUCGGAUCGUAAAACUCUGUUGUUAAAGAAGCGGUAUCUAACCAGAAAGCCACGGCUAACUACGUGCCAGCAGCCGCGGUAAUUC